UAAGAUCAAGAAGUCAGCAUAGCGCUCAAUGCCACAUCCACAUAUUUCACUCACCGGCCGAGCUCAGCCAUCAUGUUGGCACGCCUCGCACACAGCUGAAAGACGUAGUUAGCUCAUUAGUUACUCGGCCAGCGCGCCACGUAAGCUUGGUAGUUUUUAGGGUCAACAACUCCAAAUACAAAAAUAGUGUACUUUUGACACCAAAGAAGCUUUUGAUCUUUUGAGGACACUUUACUAAUGUCCUAGUAGCAUAUUAUGUGUGUUUAUUUGCUUUAGUUCAAAAGCCUGACAAAUGCAAGUUCGUCAUAUCCCAUGAAUGUUUAAAAAGGUGCAAAUACACUCCAAAUACAAAAAUAGCAUAUUUUUUUACACCAAAUAAGCAUUUGAUAUUUUGGGAACUCAUUAUUAAUGUCUUAGUACCGUAUUAUACUUGUUUAUUUGCUUAAGUUCGAAAGCGUCACAAAUGCAUGCUUGUUAUGUCCCACGAAUGCUUCAAACAGUGCAAAUACACUCCAAAUACAAAAAUAUUGUUUUUUUUACACCAAAGAAGCUUUUGAUAUUUUGAAAACACAUUAUUAAUGUCUUAGUAGUGUAUUAUAUGUGUUUAUUUGUUUAAGUUCGAAAGCUUGACAGAUAUACGCUCGUUAUAUCCCACGAAUACUUAAAACGGUGCAAAUAGACUCCAAAUACAAAAACAGUGUAUUUUUUACACCAAAUAAGCAUUUGAUCUUUUGAGACUUCAUUAUUAAUGUCUUAGUAGCGUAUUAUAUGUGUUUAUUUGUUUAAUCCAAAGCGUGACAAACCCACGCUCUUUAUGUCCCACAAAUGCUUAAAACGGUGCAAAUACACUACAAAUACAAAAAUAGCAUACUUUGACACCAAAAAUGAAUUUGAUCAUUUGAUAACUCACAAUUAAUGUCUUAGUACCAUAUUAUAUGUGUUUACUUGCUUAAAUUCCACAGUGUGUCAAACGCACGCUUGUUUUAUCACACGAAUGCUUAAAAAGGUGGAAAUGUACUCCAAACACAAAAAUAGUGUACUUUUGACACCAAAUAAGAAUUUCAUCUUUUGAGAACUCAUUAUUAAUGUCUUAAUAACGUAUUAUAUGUGCUUAUUUUCUAAGUUCCAAAGCGUGACAAAUGCACGCUCGUUAUAUCCCAGAAAUGUUUAAAACACUGCAAAUACAAAAGUAGUGCAGUUUUGUCACCAAAUAAGCAUUUGAUCUUUUAAGAACACAUUAUUAAUGUCUUAGAAGCGUAUUAUAUGUGUUUAUUUGCUUAAGCUCCAAAGUGUGUCAAACGCACGCUAGUUUUAUUCCCACGAAUGCUUAAAAUAGUGCAAAUACAAUCAAAAUACAUAAAUAGUGUAAUUUUGACACCAAAUAAGCAUUUGAUCUAUUGACAACUCAUUAUUAAUAUCUUAGUAGUGUAUUCUAUGUGUUUAUUUGCUUAAACUCCAAAGCGUGUCAAACGCACACUCAUUUUAUCCCACGAAUACUUAAAAUAGUGUAAAUACAUUCCAAAUACAAAAAAAGUGUACUUUUGACACCAAAUAUUAUUUGAUCAUUUGAGAACACAUUAUUAAUGUCUUAGUAGCAUAAAUUAUGUGUUUAUUUGCUUAAGUUCCAAAGCGUGUCAAAUGAACGCUCGUUAUAUCCCAUGAAUGCAUAAAACAGUGUAAAUACACUCCAAAUGGUAAAAUAGUGUACUUUUGACACUAAAAAAGCAUUUGGUCAUUUGAGAACUCAUUAUUAAUGUCGUAGUACUGUAUUAUAUGUGUUUACUUGCUUAAGUUCGAAAGCUUGACAAAUGCACGUUCGUUAUAUCCCACGAAUGCUUAAAAUGGUUCAAAUACACUCCAAAUUCAAAAAUAGUGUAUUUUUGAAACCAAUUAAGCAUUUGAUCUUUUGAGAACUCAUUAUUAAUGUCUUGGUAGCAUAUUAUAUGUGUUUAUUUUCUUAAGUUCCAAAGCGUGUCAAAUGCACGCUCGGUAUAUCCCACGAAUGCUUAAAACUGAGCAAAAACACUCCCAAUUGAAGAAUAGUGUACUUUUGACAAUAAAGUGUUUAUUUGCUUAAGUUUGAAAGCUUGACAAAUUCACGUUCGUUAUAUCCCACGAAUGCUUAAAACAGUGCAAAUACACUCCAAUUACAAAAAUAGCAUAUUUUGGACACCAAAUAAGCAUUUGAUCUUUUGAGAUCUCAUUAUUAAUGUCUUAGUACCAUAUUACAUGUGUUUAUUUGUUUAAGUUUCAAAGUGUGACAAACGAACGCUCUUUAUGUCCCACGAAUGCUUAAAACAGUGCAAAUACACUCCAAAUACAAAAAUAGCGUACUUGUGACAUCAAAAAUGCAUUUGAUCAUUUGAGAGCUCAUUAUUAAUGUCUUAGUACCGUAUUAUAUGUGUUUACCUACUUAAGCUCCAAAGUGUGUCAAACGCACGCUCGUUUUAUCACACGAAUGCUUAAAACGGUGCAAAUGUGAACCAAAUACAAAAAUAGUGCACUUUUGACACGAAAUAAGUAUUUCAUCUUUUGAGAACUCAUUAUUAAUGUCUUAGUAGCAUAUUAUAUGUGCUUAUUAGCUAAAUUUCAAAAGCGUGACAAACGCACGCUCGUUAUAUCCCAUAAAUGCUUAAAACACUGUAAAUACACUUGACACCAAAUAACCAUUUGAUCUUUUGAGAACACGUUAUUAAUGUCUUAGAAGCGUACUAUAUGUGUUUAUUUCUUAAGCUCCCAACCGUGUCAAACGCAUGCUCAUUUUAUCCCACGAAUGCUUAAAACGGUGCAAAUGUGAACCAAAUACAAAAAUAGUGCACUUUUGACACGAAAUAAGUAUUUCAUCUUUUGAGAACUCAUUAUUAAUGUCUUAGUAGCAUAUUAUAUGUGCUUAUUAGCUAAAUUUCAAAAGCGUGACAAACGCACGCUCGUUAUAUCCCAUAAAUGCUUAAAACACUGUAAAUACACUUGACACCAAAUAACCAUUUGAUCGUUUGAGAACACAUUAUUAAUGUCUUAGAAGCGUAUUAUAUGUGUUUAUUUGCUUAAGCUCCAAACCGUGUCAAACGCACGCUCGUUUUAUCCCACGAAUGCUUAAAACAGUGCAAAUACAAUCCAAAUACAAAAUUAGUGUAAUUUUGACACCAACUAAGCAUUUGAUCUAUUGAAAACUCAUUAUUAAUCUGUUAGUAGCAUAUUAUAUGUGUUUAUUUGCUUUAACUCCAAAGCGUGUCAAACGCACGCUCAUUUUAUCCCACGAAUGCUUAAAACAAUGCAAAUACACUCCAAAUACAAAAAUAGUGUAUUUUUGACACCAAAGAAGCUUUUGAUCAUUUGAGAACACAUUAUUAAUGUCUUACUAGCAUAUUAUAUGUUUUUAUUUGCGUAAGUUCGAAAGCUUGACAAAUGCGCGUUCGUUAUAUCCCACGAAUACUUUAGGAACUGACAGAUUAGAAAUCUUACGUACGGAUCUUCCCAGAUGGGUUUUCUAAAUUUGUAAAUCUAAAUGUCGGCCGCCACUUAUUAUUGGCAAUUGGCGGAGAUCUGACCGUUGAAUCGUUUCGAAACUUUAGGAUGUUGUUCUAGAAGCUUAUUGAAACUCUUGGGAAGUUACGCAUCGAAAAUCCGAGGUGCGGAUCUUCCGUAUCAAAUUAAUUUUGAUUAUGGAUCCUACCAUCGAUCUUUGACCGACGGUUGACUUUUGAUCAAUGGGUUACAAAUCAUCCUAAAGCGUCCUUGGGGAUCUGUUUUAUGUAAGUUAUGUGUUCUAUCGAUAAGAAUUCUGAGAUGUGAUUUGAUAUUUGUUCUAGGCGACGAUCGUUCGUGGGGCCUCAAUAUUCGUGCUAGGGAGUUGUAGCAUAAACUUCAGGUGAGUGGGUCUUUUCCUUUUUAUAGUAUAUAUAUGUGAUUGAUAGUUUCCAUUUAUGCUUUUGAAAAAGAAUUUCUUACGUACGCCUGGAUUAGACUAAAGUUUAUAAUAAUUAGUGAAAUGAUGGAAUUUAUGAAAUAUGCUACAUCCUACGGGAUACAUAGGUAUGCUUAUGAUCUUUGAUGCCAUAAUUAUAUCUACGACUAUUAAUGUUAGUAUGUUGAUUAGAACUAUCGAAUCAUUGUGGCAUGCUUAUAUUUAUGUAGUAUGCUCAUCAUUGCUGCACCCCAGUGUUAGUGCUCGCCCAGGGCUAGGGCCAGUCUUUCACGUGUAUGUUCACCUCUGCACCGCGCGCUCGCCUUGGAUCCAAGUAGGUGCAAGUCAUGUCGUACAUGUUGCAUUAGGCAACUCCGACUCGUAGGUAACCGCGAAUAGCACCAGUCUUCACGUGAUUGUAGCAUUAGAGCGUAUAUUAUGAUUACACCCAGUCUUGUCGUACAGGUUGCAUUAGGUAACUCUAACUCGUGUGCUAGCAUAGAUUGAUGAGCAUCAAUUCAAUCGUACAGGUCGUAUUAGGCGACUCCAACUUGUGUGCUAGCAUAGAUUUAAAGACCUAAUUUUACUUAUAUUACUGUUGAGAUUUUGUGAUUUGGAUAUCCUGCCCUUAGUUACGAGAUAUUGUGCCGUGAUGAAUUCUUGAGAUUUUGUAGGCUACGGUAAGUAUUUUUAUACUAUACGUAGUAUGUAUAUUUUGGAAACUAUACUUGUUUUACGGCGAAGAGUUAUAACGCUUUCAAAACUGUUUUUAUAAAACUUUAUUUUUAGGCCUACUCACCCUUGUUUUUCGCCCCUACAGGUUUUAAUAGCUGAGCUUUCUUAUCGACGAUGAUUCGUGGCAAAUCUUGGUAUUGGAGAUUACCUUCGAUGGUAUGAUUCUCAAUCCACUCUACUAUACUUUACUUAUGCUCUGACAUCACAUGUGAAAUAGGUUCAUUCUCGCUCACAGCGCACUCUUACAUUUAGGCACUUUUCAGUUUAAAUUUAUUCACAUUUUCCACAUCACUAUACUUUAUGGCUUCAUCACCUUCCAAGUGUCGGCCAGCACAACUCGAUUCAGAGUCCUAGUAGACAUUCCAGGUCGGGGUGUGUCAAUGAGUAUUCAUCGCGCAAAGUUUUUAAAAAUAACAAAAU
rnacentral:lncRNA from 1 species